rnacentral:tRNA from 1 species
GCUCCCAUAGUUCAACGGAUAGAACACCAGCUUCCGGAGCUGGCGAUGUGGGUUCGAUUCCUGCUAGGAGCA